rnacentral:rRNA from 1 species
UACGUAGGGUGCGAGCGUUAAUCGGAAUUACUGGGCGUAAAGCGUGCGCAGGCGGUUCGUUAUGUCCGAUGUGAAAGCCCCGAGCUCAACUUGGGAAUGGCAUUGGAAACUGGCGGGCUGGAGUGGUGGCAGAGGGGGGUGGAAUUCCGACGUGUAGCAGUGAAAUGCGUAGAGAUGAUGGAGGAACACCGAUGGCGAAGGCAGCCCCCUGGGCCAACACUGACGCUCAGGCACGAAAGCGUGGGGAGCAAACAGG